GCCUUCAUGGUGUAGUGGUCAGCACGCUCAACGUGUAACUGAGAAGUUCGUGGUUCAAUUUCUGGCGAAGGCG
rfam:Stegodyphus mimosarum contig52840, whole genome shotgun sequence.